GCUCUCUUGGCGAAAUUGGUAAACGCGCCAUCUUGAGGGGGUGGUGGGCAUAUGUCCUUAUGGGUUCAAGUCCCAUAGAGAGUACCA
rnacentral:tRNA from 1 species